GUCCCUUGGGGGACAUCCACUACAAUUGGAAUGAUAUAGAGAAUGUUAGAAAUUUAUCUGCAAUUGCACCUAUUAAAGCACCUAAAAAAAUAAUUGAAAUCAGUUCAAAUGGAAGAAAAAAAAAAUCUGUGCAUGGUUUACGUGUAAGGAUGACACGCACAAAUCGAGAAAUUGUCCAUUUUUUA
rnacentral:snRNA from 1 species